rnacentral:rRNA from 1 species
UACGGAAGGCAGCAGUGGGGAAUAUUGCACAAUGGGCGCAAGCCUGAUGCAGCCAUGCCGCGUGUAUGAAGAAGGCCUUCGGGUUGUAAAGUACUUUCAGCGGGGAGGAAGGCGAUGCGGUUAAUAACCGCGUCGAUUGACGUUACCCGCAGAAGAAGCACCGGCUAACUCCGUGCCAGCAGCCGCGGUAAUACGGAGGGUGCAAGCGUUAAUCGGAAUUACUGGGCGUAAAGCGCACGCAGGCGGUCUGUUAAGUCAGAUGUGAAAUCCCCGGGCUUAACCUGGGAACUGCAUUUUGAAACUGGCAGGCUUGAGUCUUGUAGAGGGGGUAGAAUUCCAGGUGUAGCGGUGAAAUGCGUAGAGAUCUGGAGGAAUACCGGUGGCGAAGGCGGCCCCUGGGACAAAGACUGACGCUCAGGGUGCGAAAGCGUGGGGAGCAAACAGGAUUAGAUACC